UGGUGUGUAGCCAAAUGGUAAGGCACUAACUUUUGAUGUUAUCAUAUACAGGUUCGAAUCCUGUUACACCAG
rnacentral:tRNA from 1 species